UCGCCUGUUUUUCAAAAACAUCGCCAGUAAAUUUACCGGUAAAAUCUGCCCAGUGUUCUCAUCAACGGCCGCAGUAUCUUAACUGUGCUAAGGUAGCGAAAUCAUUAGUUUUUUAAUUGAAAACCUGUAUGAACGAUCCGACGUAAGGUUACCUUUCUCCCCCGUUCGUAGAAUUUACUUUAGAAGUAAAAAAGCUUCUCCGUGUCAAAUGGACGACAAGACCCUAUAAAGCUUUAUCCUUCCGAAGACCUAACCCUAAUCCCUCCUUCUCUUUCAAAAGGAUUUUACUGGGGCGGUAAAUCAACCAUCAACACGAUCCUACCUAACAAACUGAUUGACUUUCCCAAACACCAAGAUGUAAAUAAGUUCAAGUUACUUUAGGGAUAACAGCAUAAUAUUUUUAGAGAGCCCGUAUCGACAAAAAAAGAUUAUGACCUCGAUGUUGAAUUGAAGAUUCUCCCUAGAGCAGCCUCUAGGAAAGAAAGUCUGUUCGACUUUUAACCCUUCACAUGAUCUGAGUUCCAAACCGGA
rnacentral:rRNA from 1 species